rnacentral:rRNA from 1 species
CUGGUUGAUCCUACCAGUAAUAUACGCUUGUCUCAAAGGUUAAGCCAUGCAUGUCUAAGUACAAACAUAAAUGGAUGUGAAACCGCAUAAGGCUCAGUACAACAGCCAUAAUUCACAAGAUCAUCCACCCAUCAGUUACUUGGAUAACUGUGGAAAAGCCAGAGCUAAUACAUGCAACAUGCCGGGUUCGCUGUCCGCUUGCGGGCGGUGGAACUGGUGCACUUAUUAGUAAAACCAACCGCCUCCGGGCGGCUUGACUUGAUGUAUGGAUAAGGAUGCCGAUCGUAUGGUCGCUUGACCGACGUCAGAUCUUGCAAAUGUCUGCCCUAUCAACAAUUAUGGUAGUGUAGAGGACUACCAUGGUUGCGACGGGUAACGGGGAAUCAGGGUUCGAUUCCGGAGAGGGAGCCUGAGAAAUGGUUACCACAUCCAAGGAUGGCAGCAGGCGCGUAAAUUACCCAAUCCCGGCACGGGGAGGUAGUGACGAGAAAUAUCAACUAUUUAUU